rnacentral:rRNA from 1 species
GGGUCAGUAGGUUGGUCGUGCCACCGGUACGUACUGGUCUCACUGAUUCCUCCUUCCUGAAGAACCGUAAUGCCAUUAAUGUGGUGUUGCGGGGAAACAGGACUGUUACUUUGAAAAAAUUAGGGUGUUUAAAGCAAGCUAACGCUUGAAUACAUUAGCAUGGAAUAAUGAAAUAGGACGAUCGAUCCUAUUUUGUUGGUUUCUAGGAUUGACGUA